AGCUGAGUUCCAACCGCAUCUCUUUCACCAGAACUGUGUCAUGUGACCUCGCCUGCCCGCAAAGGAGAUUGGGAAAUUGAGUUUUGGAGAUUAAGCAGGGAGGGAUAGGGAUUUGGGAAUGGAGAUGGGGCCAGCUGUGUCUGCCGGACUCAGAAGAGUCUCUUUCUGGUGUGGGCUGUGGUUUCUGAUGUGUGGCUUCUCCAGAGAACCCAAGAACAUGUAUGUGCUGCUGACUCCAGAGGUGAGCAGACCUUGCUUGGCCCAGAAGAGGGUCUGAGAAUUGCAGAACCACAGCAGGUCAGAGACAGGCACUCCCUGAGACAAGGUCCAACCCAGCACCACUCAGUGUCAGACUCGGAGGGUCAGAGCAGGGCAGGGGCUUGCCCAAACCGGCCAGGCUCUUUCCUCUGUGUCCUAUGGCCUCUCGUGACCAACCUUGGAACAAUUCACCCAUGAAACAGUGGUGCCCCAACGCAAGGACAUCUCAUCCUCUGAAGCUCUGCACCCAAUGAACUGAAAACGCAGGGGGCAAGAAUUCCCACUUCCAACCAACUCUUCAGUUCCCAGGCAAGAGCCUUAGAAGUCCAUUUUCUGGAGCCUUUCGGAUAGAACUGGACUGACUCAUCACUCACAUGGCAUGUGUGCUCCUGCUUUAGCACCUCAGGAAUAACUUACCAUCAUUCAGCCGUACACAGCUUAGAAAAACAUUCUCACUUACAUCACCUUCUCUUUUGAUCCACACAGAAACCUUCUGACGUAGGUGUUUUAGCCCCUGAAUAAGCCAGGGUUGGCUCUAUGACAACCUGACAACAAAAUCGAUUCCAACUGCUUUUGGCAAAAGAAGGAGAAGAGUUGGCUCCCAAGCUGAAAAAGUGGGGACAGGUAUGGCUGCAUCCAGGUGUCAGGCUCCCCCCCCCCCCUCUGUCUCCGUCUGUCUCUGUCUGUGUGACUCUCUGUCUCUCUCUCUUUGAUCUUUUUUUCCCUUCUUAUUGGCUUCACUCUCAGGCAGGUGCUCCCCACGCACUCGGGCAGCUCCAAACUUACACGGUCCUAACAUUCUGAUCCCAUAUGAAGAGGAUCUCUUUCCUGGACACUUCUGAUUGCUUUGGCUUAGCUCACGUGCCCAUCCCUGAACCAAAGGCUGUGAGCAGGAGGACGGAACAUCCUGAUUCUAACCGGCCAGUCCUAGACCAUGCGCCCACAUGAACUGAGAAUGAGAGAGGGAUGUUCCCCCAAAAGCAAACUGGAUACAAAGGAAGAGGGAAGGGAUGCAGGCCAGGCAGAGGCAACUGACGUCCACCAGCAUUCCGCUUCCCCAUGUGACAAACGAGGAAGCCAAGGCUCAGAGAGGAGGCUACAUCUGCCUCUGGAUGAGAACCAGAACACCGUGCUGACCGAGCCUGGCGCUCUUCUGUGGACUCAGGGCCUGACACAGAGAAAGCACUUAAUAAGUGUUUGAUGAAUGAACAAAUGAAACAUUCUGGAGUCAAAGAGGACUAGGUACGAAUCCCAGCUCUACCACUUACUAGCUGUAUGGUGUCGAGCAAGUCACUUAACCCUUCUGUGCUCAGUUUCCACAUCUGUAAGAUGGGGAGAACACCAGCACCAUCUUCAGAGGAUUGUUAUAAGGAUUCAACAAGUGAAUUCUUAUAAAAUGCUUAGGACAUUGCCCGAGGCUUAAUGAGCUCUAUAUCACUGUUUCUUAAAUAAAUGAGCUAAUAAAUGAA